CCUACGGGAGGCAGCAGUGAGGAAUAUUGGUCAAUGGGCGAGAGCCUGAACCAGCCAAGUCGCGUGAAGGAUGACUGCCCUACGGGUUGUAAACUUCUUUUAUAAGGGAAUAAAGUGCGGCACGCGUGCCUCUUUGUAUGUACUUUAUGAAUAAGGAUCGGCUAACUCCGUGCCAGCAGCCGCGGUAAUAAGGAGGAUCCGAGCGUUAUCCGGAUUUAUUGGGUUUAAAGGGAGCGUAGAUGGGUUGGUAAGUCAGUUGUGAAAGUUUGCGGCUCAACCGUAAAAUUGCAAUUGAUACUGGCAUCCUUGAGUAGAGUUGAGGUAGGCGGAAUGCGUGGUGUAGCGGUGAAAUGCUUAGAUAUCACGAAGAACUCCGAUUGCGAAGGCAGCGUACUAGACUGCCACUGACAUUGAUGCACGAAAGUGUGGGUAUCAAACAGGAUUAGAUACCCUUGUAGUC
rnacentral:rRNA from 1 species